CUGCUCAGGACGAACGCUGGCGGCGUGCUUAACACAUGCAAGUCGAACGCUGAAGCUUGGUGCUUGCACUGGGUGGAUGAGUGGCGAACGGGUGAGUAUCACGUGAGUAACCUGCCCCUGACUUCGGGAUAAGCCUGGGAAACUGGGUCUAAUACCGGAUAUGACCAUCUUUCGCAUGUUGGGUGGUGGAAAGUUUUUCGGUUGGGGAUGGGCUCGCGGCCUAUCAGUUUGUUGGUGGGGUAAUGGCCUACCAAGACGACGACGGGUAGCCGGCCUGAGAGGGCGACCGGCCACACUGGGACUGAGACACGGCCCAGACUCCUACGGGAGGCAGCAGUGGGGAAUAUUGCACAAUGGGGGAAACCCUGAUGCAGCGACGCCGCGUGGGGGAUGACGGCCUUCGGGUUGUAAACCUCUUUCAGUAGGGAAGAAGCCUUGGGUGACGGUAC
rnacentral:rRNA from 1 species